rnacentral:rRNA from 1 species
GCAAGUCGUACGAGAAAUCUUUAGCUUGCUAGAGAGAGUAAAGUGGCGCACGGGUGAGUAACGCGUGGGUAAUCUACCUUCGAAUCUGGGAUAACAUUGCGAAAGCGAUGCUAAUACCGGAUAACAUCUUAGUAACUUCGGUUGUUAAGAUCAAAAGUGGUCUCUACAUGAAAACUACUGUUUGGAGAUGAGCCCGCGUACCAUUAGCUAGUUGGUAGGGUAAAGGCCUACCAAGGCGACGAUGGUUAGCUGGUCUGAGAGGAUGAUC